ACCCAGCUGACGAGUCCCGAAUAGGACGAAACGUACGUCCUGGAU
rnacentral:hammerhead_ribozyme from 1 species